UGGUGGUGGUUCACUAUUCACGACGUUAAUGUGUGUUGGUGGUUGUGUGUCUGUGUGUGGUUUAUUAUCGAUGCGUUGUUGAAGAUGGAGCGGGCCGCGUUAUACGCUAAGGGCCCUCAGGCCUACGAAGACCGCUUUGUUUAUAUUUAGUUAAUGUAAUCAAGAUAUGUUCUAGAAUUAAUGUUUAUAUAUGUAGCAAUCAUAGUGCACGCUUUGUGUGUGCUUUAGUAUCGAUGCGUUGCUGUUGAAGAUGGAGCGGGCCGCGUUAUACGCUCGGGCCUUCAGGCCUACGAGGACCGCUUUGUUUAUAUUUAGUUAAAAAUAUAACUAAGGUGUGUUCUAGAAUUAAUGUUUAUAUAUGUGGCAAUCACAGUGCACACUUUGUGUGUGGUUGAGUUAUCGAUGCGUUGUUGUUGAAGAUGGAGCGGGCCCCGUUAUUCGCUCGGGCCUUCAGGCCUACGAGGACCGCUUUGUUUAUAUUUAGUUAAAAAUAUAACCAAGGUGUGUUCUAGAAUUAAUGUUUAUAUAUGUAGCAAUCAUAGUGCACACUUUGUGUGUGGUUUAGUUAUCGAUGCGUUGUUGUUGUUGAAGAUGGAGCGGGCCGCGUUAUACGCUAAAGGCCUCAGGCCUAAGGAAACUUGUGACCGCAAUGUGUUUACAUAAAUAAAGAUAGUUUAUAUGUUGUUACAAAAGUGUGACCGAGCUAACUUCGACGAUUAAUAUUUAAUAAUAUGUGUAGCAGGGAUGGUGCUUCCUGCUUUGUGUGGGUUUUUUUAAGUAUAUCGAUGCGUUAAUGGCUCCACGUGUUGGCUCGUUAAAUGUUUUAACGAAAGACAAUUAUUGAAAUGAGUAAGAAUUGCUACAUUUGGCAAAGGCGUGUUAGUGCAUACUGUGUGGUGUCGUUGAUUAUUUAAUGGGUGUGAAGAUGCAGUAGUUGGGGAAAUAGUUACUCCACGUUGUGGUUUUGAUGCUAACAAAGUAACGAGAUUUAUUAAUGUUUACGGAUGGCAAUGAUGUUUCCGUGUGCGUGUGUGUUUAUCGCUGCGUUUUUAUCCGCGUCAAUAUCAAGCCGGACACGUUCCGUGCUUAUUUAAUAGACAACACCGCGCUUGGUAAAGAUAUUUUAAAAUAAUCGUUUUAAUCUUAAUUAAAAAUGACCCUGGGUCCAUUUUCGGAAAACUUAGCCCUUUAAUUAAAAUACUUAUUUACAUGAUUCAUCGCCCCUACUCGCGACAUAAACAUUUAAGCUAUUGUGUUGUCAUUAAAAAGGGGUACGUUGAGACGUAUUUUAAGGUAAUUCUUUAACGCGAUUAACGUCUGCGUGGCGUAUCAAAAAAUAUAUAAUUAUAUAGACAUGCCAAGUGGUGAGCAAAGCAUAAGCGUCUUUAGAAAUGCGUGCGACGCAUCUUGGCGUGUGGAGUUUGUCGGUAGAAUGUUGUUUCUUGAGUAA